GCGCGUCAUUCAAUGUUGCCAGGGGAAUUUUUUAGAUGAGAUCACUUGCCUCUUUCUUUGUUUUGGAUACGGUUACGGUGCGCGGAACAGGACAUUGAGCUUUCUGAACUGUCAGUGAUAUAAACGAUGGAGCCUUAAAUGGCAUAGCUCAAGAGAUAGAUGCAAGAGAAUGGAAGGGAGUGGCUACAAAGCUCAGCUUCAGCUACGCAGAAAUUUCACACUUUGAGGCCAAUUGUCCCUUGGAUAUUGUCAGUCAGAUAUUUCACAUGCUGAUCAAGUGCAGAAACAGACAUUCUGGUGAGGUCAAUCAGAGAGAAACUAUUGACAAUGCACUGGGGGAGGUGAGGAACCCAACUCUGGCUGAAGAGCUCAAUGAGCCAAGGGCUCCCAGAGGCUGAGUGGAACGCAUCCUUGCCUGGUUUUGGGGUUGGUUUCAGCUGACAAUGACUCCAAUGCAAGCACACCGCAUUGUAGGUAGGGAUCUUGAACAUGACAUUUGGGCAAUGGCGAUGGAUGAUUGGUUUGUUAUGCCGCCGCACUGUGGAGUCCACAGUGUUAUUGCAGUUUCACGUACAGUACACUGAAAAGCUUAACCAUGCCAAUGGGAAGUGGCUGUGUUGCGUUGCACUAAGUUCCAGCACUGCUGCCACCAUGUUGCGUGACCCGGCGUAGGUUAAUUCAGAUGACUUUAGAGGCAGGAAUUUGGAGGGCACACGUUUGCCGUGACAGGCUUUAUUCAGCACACUUUGUAACACGAGAACAUGUACAUGUCAAUAGAGGGUGUACUUAACAUUUCUCUAUGUCCCAUACUCAACAGGCUGACUGCUGAAAUCACUUUGUGUAUUGUCUGGAGCUGAAUUUGCUCUUCAAAAAUUACAGCUUAUGCAAGCCCCCCCCCGCCCGCGCUUUCAAACGAAUUCCUUUUGGGAAGGCCGUGUGUAAAAAUUGCCUCCAUGGUUUGCUCAGUAGGCAUUGAUGAGAUCCACUAAAGUACAUGUAAGACAAACCAGUUUAUGCAUACUUCCAAACUUAAAAAGUUGAAAUUUGUUGUACAGUACAUCUGACGUCUCAUUUCAAGAUGCUGGUAGUAAAUAUAGACAUGAUAGAGAUGCACUGAAGUGGUACUACGAGAAACGAGGCGGUUUUGUACAAAAUGAACCCGUUGCUUUAUUUAUGAUGACAAAAAACAUAUUGCAGACAUAUACUAAGUUGAAAUUCGUCAACGGUAAAGGAGGAAUAGAAGGCACACUGGUACAGUAUGAGGGUAUUUUACUCCUUGAAACAAGAGAGGGGGAUCAGGUGCCAAUAGCUGUAUUUAGUGGGUUGGCCGGUUUUGAUGUGUUUACUGUGGAGAGAAGGGUCCACACUUCCAGAAAAAAUGCCACGCCUGUACGCUAAGACAAUUGAAUACAUCGGUAAAAGAAAAAAGUGUCAAAAGAAGAAAUAUUCUCUAUUGUGACCAUUCUCGGCAAGCUUGGUUGGGAUGGUCUUUUUGGAGAGCAAGUUCUGUCUUUUAAAGAAAGUGACUUUGAUCCGAGUGUGCUUGUAAGGGCUCUGAGAGUUGGAAUUCUGACCAGGCAGAGAGUCGUGAAGAGGCUAAUCCCAGUGCAGUUUAUUCAUAAAACAUUCCAGGAAAUUCCGUGCUGCUUUAUACUUGCAACACAUGCUUGAAAAAGACAGAGAGCAAUUUCAAGAAACUCUGAAUGACAUACAUGUAAUAAUAUCGAUGAGCCCAUGGGGUUUUGAGUAUCUUCUGCACUUUUGUUGUGGUGACAAUGAAGCAUGCACCUUUCACUUACUUACCUUUCAAGAGAGGUAUCAGAGGGAUUUAUCAUUUCAAAGUGCGGUGGGCCAGUUGGUGCUGCUGUUUUACUUUGAAGGCCAGUGCAAAUGUUUGCCUCACAGGGGGUUCAUACACUUGUUUGUAAAUAAUGAGAUUUACUGUAUGUGGCUGGACCAUGCCAGGAAGUGAAAUGAUUUAAAAGUUCCACCGAGAUGGUGCCAACUCAAUCACAUACUUUCUGAAAUGCAUUGUUGAGCUUACAAGGGAUGGUGCCAGUACUUACCUCGCUGAAGUGAAGGUGGUUACGUUUAAGCCCUUCAUCUUUACAGGGUGCGGUGAAGGUUUAGCCUUAGCACUGAAUGCAAUGACAAAUCUAGAACAGGCAUGUUUCAGUGAUUGCUUCAUUAGUGAAGAUUUAGCUCGCGUUGCAAAGUCACUCUGUGAACUACCAAACUUUGGAGCACUGGAUAUAUCUCAUUGUACCUGAAAGACACAGCAGCACCCUUGUGCAAGCACUUGCAGCAGUGCAAAGCCCUGCGGCAACUGGCCUUGAGUGACUGCUCAUUGACUGGAGAGGACAUGGUGCAUGUUGCCAAGUCAUUGAAGGAUAUACACAACUUGGCUUCAUUGAGUCUCUCUAGUAAUAAACUGGCUGGUACAGCGGCAUUAUGGUGUGAGCGCAUAAAGCAGUGCAAGGCCCUGCAAAAUUUUGAUGCAAGGGAUUGUUCAUUGAAUGGAAAGGACAUGGUACAGCUUGCUGAGUCAGUAAGGGAUUUACCCAACUUGGGUACCUUGAAUCUUUCCUGUAAUAACCUGGCUGGUACAACUGCAUUAUGGUGUGAGCAAGUUAAUCAGUGCAAGGCCCUGCAGGAGCUCUACUUUAGGGGCUGCUUCUUGAAUGGACAGGACAUGAUACAUGUUGCUGAGUCACUCAUAUUCAGCGACCUGUCCAAUUUGGUUACAUUGGUUCUUUCCAAGCACAACCUAGGUAGUACUGCAUCAUUUUGGUGCAAGCCGGUUAGGCCAAGCCAGGCCCCGCGCCGGCUGCAACUUGAUUACUGCAAACUGAGACGGGGAAAAAAUGAAAUCCAUCGAGGAAUCACUGUCACUGACUUUGUCAUUGUCCAUGUGAUCUAUCCAUCUGGCUUGCAGUGCUUAAGUACGAGUGCCUCUUAGUGAGUGUGUACAUUUACAAAUUCUGCAAGAAACAUUGGAAGUUAGAGUUCUUACAAAAAUCACCUUGUUUGCAUAGUUCAGUAUUGUCCUUAUUGACUAGUCCUUCCACUCAAAAAACCUCGUUUGUGCAAUGUGAAGUUUUUCAUACUUUAGAUUUUUCCCUUUUUAGGGGGGGCAUCGGGAUGUUCAGAUCAAGAAAUAUAUCAGUUACAUGUUGCCAUGGUAAGUGUGUUAAUGUAAAAAUGGUUUACCAGGCCGCUCCCUGACCUACAUGUAAGGGUUCCUCAAACCUCAAUUGUUUGUAUGUUCACAGCAAAGGCUUCAUAAUUUAACCACAUACAUGUACCACAGAGGUGGACACAUCAUUCGGCACAUUUUCUUCCUUUGAUUGAUUUGGAUGAAGUAGUUUACUCCGAUAUGCUGUUGUUCUCACUUUAAAUUUGUUUGCUCUUUGAAAAACGUAGCAACCACUCAAAGGCACAUGUACAUGUACUACCAAAAAUGGGUAAGGAAGAAAAAUUCAACAGUGUGGGUUUGAUGGCAUGAAUGAAACAUUGACUUUUCCUUCAUACUUCAUUUUUACAGUCUAGAAAUAUGAGAGGGUGAUAAAGAUUAAAUUGAUGUCAAUCAGCUCAUGUGGUCAUACAGUAUGUAGAUGUACAUGUAUGGAAAAUGGAUACCAGGCUUGAUAUAUCCACACUGGCAUACGCAGGCUUAACCCGAACAAGCCAGUUCCUUCAUCACCACAGUGCACUGUGCAUAUAUCCACAAGUAAAAGUUGUAGUAAGACAAGUGAUUUCCAUGUAACAUGCUGAGACCUCAUCAGUGCGUGGAUAGUCCUUCCUCAGUGUUGGUGGAGGCAAAAAUAUGAAGUGAUUCAAUAUGAAGGUUAGGCACCGAGGGACAAUCUGCCUGAAUUCUGUAGAUUGUAGAAUCUUGUCUUUCAUUAGUGCUACAAACUGAGUGGCUCAUCAACAUCGCCUUUUGUUAACCAUGUCCCCAUGCGCUGUUCCCUUGGGGAGCAAGUUUCAGUCAUCUGCCAUCCUCCGGCAGAACACAUUCUGCUUAUCAGCCGUGAAAUAAUCUUUUGGUGACCAUGUACAUGUAUGUGUCUGUGUUUCUGUAAAUAACUAUUUUUUAUCCUUUAUCAUUUUUGAGUAGCCUGAAUGAUACAAAGAGCCCAUUUUUUUUUUACAAAUGAUCAGAAUCAUAGAAUUUGCCAACAUUUCAUUUAUGGCAUGUACUUUAACAGCUCUUGAUCACCACUUGUCUCGAUAUGAGAAGCACAACUUCAGAUACGGAAAUGGAAUUCCAUGAAAAGCUGAAUGAUAUGUACAUGUAUGUAGAAUGUGAAUUACUCCAAAAUAAAAACAGCUGGCUAAUCUCUAUGAGCGAAGUAGUAAUAUUUAGCAGUUGCAUACAGUCUUGUACAAAGUGUACCUACAUAUGUGCAUUGGCUCAGAAGGGAUUUUAAUACACUGUUGCAACAUGCAUCAGAUGUUUUCUUAUACAGUUCUACAUUGUUUGGGUCAUGUGUUUCUGCUUUAGUUUAAUCGAUCAAUCAAAAUUCUACAGGUUUCAGUUUUAUUCAGAUUAUAUUCACAUGUAGACGUCCAUGAUGCUAAUGUGUGCGAAGCAGACUGCACGUUGUGCAUGUACAUGUAUUUGACACUUUGUCAUCUAUCGGGGAAAGAGGUUGGCUACGGCAUUGUAUUACAUGUAUUUUCUGUUAUCUGUGAGUGAUGAAUCCGUUAUCAUUGUACAUAUACAUCAGUUGGAAAAAAAUGUAAUGACAUGCUGUAGUAUGAUUAAUAUCCUUGCUAUGGUGAUCGCGGAUGGAACCAGACCCCCUGUCUUUCAGUUGUAACACAAUUAUUGAAUUGACCAAGAAAAGGUAGAAAGAUGCUAUGCUAUUUUUGUAUUAUUUGUAAAAGCCUGAAAGAGCCAAGAUUCAUUUUUGUACAUUACAAGUGAUCGGAGUUAUGAACUUUGUGGCAGUUUAUUCUGAUGCAAAUCAGAUGUUUUAAUCCAAUCAUGAGUCACUUCCAAUUUCCAAAAUUUAAUGUGACUUACAUGUACAAAUGCAUAGAUUUAAGCAUUACAAACAUAUGAAUAUAAUAUAAAUAAUAGAAAAUAUUGAAUGCAAGAGAGCUGGCAAAUCUCUGAAAGUAAUAUUUGUCUGUUACCGUUGUCUAACUUGUUGUUUGAGAAGUUUGGGCAACCUUUUGUAAAAGGUGUUUAUAUUUGUGACCCGGUACAUCGUAAUCAGGAAUAAGUUGCUGAGGCCGUCUUACAUAAUGGCCGAGUAAAGUGGUAAUGUUGGAAAAAAUUGAUGUUGCAGUUUCUGUAUAUUUUGGAAGUGUUAAACUAGGCAUACAUGUACAUGUUAAGGUAUUGAGUUCAUCUGUGAAACAAUCCUAGCACAAUCAAGUUAUUCGUGAGAGUAAUAUUUUCAUUUGCAUAGAAAGGGGAUCUUAUUGUCCGUCCUUACAUUUAUGACACAAAGAGAGGAGAGGUGUGUUUCAUUUGUGAUUUCAUCUUUUUUUUAAAUGCCAAAUUAAAAAGUGCCUGCAAGUGCUGAAUUACUAAUUGCAGAUACAUGUAGUGGUGCAAGUAUCCUUAACAGAAAUCGUCUGGAAACUGUAUGCUUGUCAAAUGUAUCCAAUAUGUAUUAUUGGUCUUUCCUUGUGAAAUAUGAAUGCACAGGAAUGUCCGUUGCUAGCCAAUUAAAUGAUAUUCUUGAACUGCAUUUUUAGAAGUAACAAUAACUUUACAGUUCCUGGUACAUCUUAAGAGAGGAUGGUCUUCAGCCAAGU